AUUGAACGCUGGCGGCAGGCCUAACACAUGCAAGUCGAGCGGAUGAAGGGAGCUUGCUCCUGGAUUCAGCGUCGGACGGGUGAGUAAUGCCUAGGAAUCUGCCUGGUAGUGGGGGAUAACGUCCGGAAACGGGCGCUAAUACCGCAUACGUCCUGAGGGAGAAAGUGGGGGAUCUUCGGACCUCACGCUAUCAGAUGAGCCUAGGUCGGAUUAGCUAGUUGGUGGGGUAAAGGCAUACCAAGGCGACGAUCCGUAACUGGUCUGAGAGGAUGAACAGGCACACUGGAAGUGAGACACGAUCCAGACUCCUACGGGAGGAAGCAGUGGGGAAUAUUGGACGAUGGGGGAAAGCCUGAUCCAGCCAUGCCGGGUGUAUGAAGAAGGUCUUCGGAUUGGAAAGCACUUUAAGUUGGGAGGAAGGGCAGUAAGUUAAUACCUUGCUGUUUUGACGUUACCAGCAGAAUAAGCACCGGCUAACUUCGUG
rnacentral:rRNA from 1 species